CAACUUUCAACAACGGAUCUCUUGGCUCACGCAUCGAUGAAGAACGCAGCGAAAUGCGAUAAGUAAUGUGAAUUGCAGAAUUCAGUGAAUCAUCGAAUCUUUGAACGCACCUUGCGCUCCUUGGUAUUCCGAGGAGCAUGCCUGUUUGAGUGUCAU
rnacentral:rRNA from 1 species